ensembl:snoRNA small nucleolar RNA, C/D box 4A
GGUGCAAGUGAUGAUUUCAAGCGACCAAAGCCUGAAAGUUUGUGAUUAGAACUUUUUUGGUAACUGAUGUACC